GACGAACGCUGGCGGCGUGCUUAACACAUGCAAGUCGAACGGUGAAGCGCCUUCCUUUUUGGUGGGUGUGGAUGAGUGGCGAACGGGUGAGUAACACGUGAGUAACCUGCCCCCUUCUUCUGGAUAACCGCAUGAAAGUGUGGCUAAUACGGGAUAUUCUGGGUCUGUCGCAUGAUGGGUCUGGGAAAGAUAUUGUUUCGGUGGGGGAUGGGCUCGCGGCCUAUCAGCUUGUUGGUGGGGUGAUGGCCUACCAAGGCGGGGACGGGUAGCCGGCCUGAGAGGGUGGACGGUCACACUGGGACUGAGACACGGCCCAGACUCCUACGGGAGGCAGCAGUGGGGAAUAUUGCACAAUGGGCGAAAGCCUGAUGCAGCGUCGCCGCGUGAGGGAUGGAGGCCUUCGGGUUGUGAACCUCUUUCGCCAGUGAAGCAGGCCUGCCUCGUUUGUGGGUGGGUUGACGGUAGCUGGAUAAGAAGCGCCGGCUAACUACGUG
rnacentral:rRNA from 1 species